GACAGAGGGUGCAAACGUUGUUCGGAAUUACUGGGCGUAAAGCGAGUGUAGGCGGUUUGAUAAGUCGGAUGUGAAAGCCCUGGGCUCAACCCAGGAAGUGCACUCGAUACUGUCAAGCUAGAGUAUCGGAGAGGUUGGUGGAAUUCUCGGUGUAGAGGUGAAAUUCGUAGAUAUCGAGAGGAACACCGGUGGCGAAGGCGGCCAACUGGACGAAUACUGACGCUGAGACUCGAAAGCGUGGGGAGCAAACAGG
rnacentral:rRNA from 1 species